AACAGGGGGGGCAAGUGUUACUCAUAAUAAUUGGGCGUAAAGAGCAUGUAGGUUGUUAAUUAAGUUUAAAUUUAAAGUCUAAAGCUUAACUUUAGAAUUAGUUUGAAUACUGAUUAACUAGAGUCCAAUAAAGGAUAGUGGAAUUCUAGUGGAGAGAUUAAAUUCAUAGAUCCUAGAAGGAAGACCAAAGGCUGAGGCAACUAUCUAGGCUGUGACUGACGCUGAUGUGCGAAAGCAUGGGAGCAAACAGG
rnacentral:rRNA from 1 species